AUAAUUACAUUUUACAUUGGAAUAGCGGCUUCAGAAUUCAGCUAUUGGUUUGAAAUUCCAUUAAAUUCAACGAGAGAUCCUAGGUUAAGAUUGAUUUAAAUUUGCAUACAUUUUCAUAUAUUUAGGGCAAAAUAAAGGGAGGCCGGGAGAAGCUGUUAGCCAUUGCCAACAACAGUUUCUCAAAAUUCAGCUGUACUAGAAUUUCGAAGGGACUACGGGACGGUAAUAGGUGAGCUUUCCCCACCACAGCUGGCUCUUAGCUCUGCAAAGCGGCCUUAGCCCGCUGUCUGUGGGGAAGACCAAUCUCACGGUUGUAUACUGCUUCACAAACAAGAGAAAAUCUGCAGGUGCUGGAAAUCCGAGCAACACACAAAAUGCAGGCCAGGCAGCAUCUUUGGAAAAGAGUACAGUCGAUGUUUCAGGCUGAGACCCUUCAGCAGGAAUAGAGAAAAAAAGACUUGUUGGAAGUGACAAUCCUGGGCACUGGGAUUGUAUUGCAGCUUUCGGGAAUAAUUCUAUCUGUGCCUUCAGGCAUGGGACUGCUGGUGGUCAGCUGACCACUUCUUAUGCUCAUCUAUAAAGGACUGGAAGUGCUUAAUUUUCAUUUGUUUUGCUGAAAUAUAUCACCAAAGAAGAAUUUUUGCUGCGGAGAGAUGCUGCCUGACCUGCUGAGUAUUUUCAGCAUUUUCUGCUACUGUACAGCCAAUAGUUUAACAGUGGCUGGUGGGAUAUCCUUGGCUUUGUAAAAUAUAACAACUCAGGGUUAAAGAGCAUCUGCAACAUCACUUCUAAGCCAAGAGGAGAGACGUUUAAACUCCAAACCUCAUUCCAACCUGCUUCUGAAACAAGGGCUCCCCCAUAAUAAUAACAGCUCACCUUAGAUAUUCAGAGAUGUUAACCCCCUCAGAUCUGACACGGUUGAAACCCUGGAUCAGACGUCUUCCUGG